rnacentral:rRNA from 1 species
AUGGACACUGCACAGUAUGGACCUUGGUCAGAUCUUCCGCCAGAACUCCUUGGACUUGUUCUCAAGCGCCUCCCUUCCCUAGCUGACCGUGUUCGUCUAAGAGCUGUCUGCUGCCCAUGGCGCUCUAAUAGUAUGUUGCAACCCCUUCCUCUCCCAUUUCCAUGGCUCACUCUCCCCGAUGGUACUUUCCUCAGCAUUCCAAGCGGUGAGAUUCACCGCAUAUCUUUACCAGAAGGUGCGUGUUGCCAAGGCUCCAUUGGAAACUGGCUAUUCCUCAUGCACAAUGAUGAUGUGUGCUACUUGAUGAACCCUUUCUCCAACACUAGGUUGGAGCUUCCUAAGCUAGCCAAAGUAUGGAAACGUGAAAUAUUUGAUCCCGACUCUAGAUUUAGUCCAAUUUUCUACAAGUUGGUGGUGCCCUUUCCCCUUGACUCAUCUUCCUGUUCCCUUGUUGCUGCACUGAUCAUGGACAAUGGUAAUUGCGGUACACUUUGUAUUAGCAAGCCACCGAUUGUCACUGAGUCGUUCAAAGACGAUGAGCAUCCAGUUCUGGAGCUCGAGGAUGUUUCAUUCUUUGAUGGAAAGCUGUACGCGUUGUGCGGGUUUGCCCAACUUUUCAUCUUUGAAUUAGACAAGGACCUUGGUAUUUCAUUCAUGAAGUGCAUAAUUCACUCUCCGGGUGACUUGGGUGGAACACUUCAAUCCUCGUUGAGAGUGGUGUGGAUGAUAAGGCAGUAUCUGGUUGAAUGUGGCGGUAGACUGUUGAUGGUGAUACGGUGGUUUCGCUCUAUGGCCCAUCCAACAUCUGAUGACUGUUUCGAGCAUGACCGUACUAUUGAACUUGAGGUUUUUGAGGCAGAUUUGCGCACUGAACCUGUAGGAUGGAGAACAGUAAGCGAUUUGGAUGGCCAUGCGCUCUUUCUUGGCCAACAUAGCUGCAAGUCCCUGCGUGCUGGAGAAUGCACUGGAUACCAAGAGGACUGCAUCUACUUCAUGUGUGACUAUCCCUGGCCGAAGUAUUCUGCAAAUCCUCUUCGCGACGCAGGUGUUUACAAUGUCAGGAAUGAGACGUUCAUGCCGCUGAUGUCAGGCACCGCAGCAGUACCACCACGUCACGCUGGCCAGUGGCGUCCGACAUGGUUUUUCCCUCCUGAAGCUGUAUGA